rnacentral:rRNA from 1 species
UACGGGGGGGGCAAGCGUUGUUCGGAAUUACUGGGCGUAAAGGGCGCGUAGGCGGCCUUCUAAGUCGAACGUGAAAUCCCCGGGCUCAACCCGGGAACUGCGUCCGAUACUGGAUGGCUUGAGUUUGGGAGAGGGAUGCGGAAUUCCAGGUGUAGCGGUGAAAUGCGUAGAUAUCUGGAGGAACACCCGUGGCGAAGGCGGCUCUCUGGUACGUGACUGACGCUGAGACGCGAAAGCGUGGGGAGCAAACAGG